GAUGAACGCUGGCGGCGUGCCUAAUACAUGCAAGUCGAGCGAACGGACGAGAAGCUUGCUUCUCUGAUGUUAGCGGCGGACGGGUGAGUAACACGUGGAUAACCUACCUAUAAGACUGGGAUAACUUCGGGAAACCGUAGCUAAUACCGGAUAAUAUUUUGAACCGCAUGGUUCAAAAGUGAAAGACGGUCUUUCUGUCACUUAUAGAUGGAUCCGCGCUGCAUUAGCUAGUUGGUAAGGUAACGGCUUACCAAGGCAACGAUGCAUAGCCGACCUGAGAGGGUGAUCGGCCACACUGGAACUGAGACACGGUCCAGACUCCUACGGGAGGCAGCAGUAGGGAAUCUUCCGCAAUGGGCGAAAGCCUGACGGAGCAACGCCGCGUGAGUGAUGAAGGUCUUCGGAUCGUAAAACUCUGUUAUUAGGGAAGAACAAAUGUGUAAGUAACUGUGCACAUCUUGACGGUACCUAAUCAGAAAGCCACGGCUAACUACGUG
rnacentral:rRNA from 1 species